CCUGGUUAUUGAAGCGACUUGGAAACACCUCUUCCCAUCCCGAACAGAGAAGUGAAACAAGUCAGCGCCGAUGAUACUUCCUCUUUUUUGGGGGAGGGAAAGUAGGUCAUAGCCAGGG
rnacentral:rRNA from 1 species